rnacentral:rRNA from 1 species
UACAGAGGGGGCAAGCGUUAUUCGGAAUUAUUGGGCGUAAAGGGCGCGUAGGCGGCCUGGCAAGUGACGGGUGAAAGCCCUCGGCUCAACCGAGGAACUGCCUGUCAUACUGCCGGGCUUGAGUCCGGGAGAGGUGAGUGGAAUUCCCAGUGUAGCGGUGAAAUGCGUAGAUAUUGGGAGGAACACCAGUGGCGAAGGCGGCUCACUGGACCGGAACUGACGCUGAGGCGCGGAAAGCGAUGGGGAGCAAACAGGGGAUUCAAGA